CCUACGGGAGGCUGCAGUGGGGAAUAUUGCACAAUGGGGGAAACCCUGAUGCAGCGACGCCGCGCGAGUGAAGAAGUAACUCGUUAUGUAAAGCUCUAUCAGCAGGGGAGAAAAUGACGGUACCUGAGUAAGAAGCACCGGCUAACUACGUGCCAGCAGCCGCGGUAACACGUCGGGGGCAAGCGUUAUCCGGAUUUACUGGGUGUAAAGGGGGCGUAGACGGCAGUGCAAGUCUGGAGUGAAAGGCGGGGGCUCAACCCCCGGACUGCUCUGGAAACUGUACGGCUGGAGUGCAGGAGAGGUAAGUGGAAUUCCUGGUGUAGCGGUGAAAUGCGUAGAUAUUAGGAGGAACACCAGUGGCGAAGGCGGCUUACUGGACUGUAACUGACGUUGAGGCUCGAAAGCGUGGGGAGCGAACAGGAUUAGAUACCCUUGUAGUC
rnacentral:rRNA from 1 species